rnacentral:tRNA from 1 species
GGGCAUGCAGCUCUGGUAGAGCAUAUGCUUAAUGUACAUAAGGCCCUGGGUUCAAAUCCCUGGUAUCCCCA